AUUGAACGCUGGCGGCAUGCCUUACACAUGCAAGUCGAACGGCAGCACGGGUGCUUGCACCUGGUGGCAAGUGGCGAACGGGUGAGUAAUACAUCGGAACAUGUCCUGUAGUGGGGGAUAGCCCGGCGAAAGCCGGAUUAAUACCGCAUACGAUCUACGGAUGAAAGCGGGGGACCUUCGGGCCUCGCGCUAUAGGGUUGGCCGAUGGCUGAUUAGCUAGUUGGUGGGGUAAAGGCCUACCAAGGCGACGAUCAGUAGCUGGUCUGAGAGGACGACCAGCCACACUGGGACUGAGAAACGGCCCAGACUCCUACGGGAGGCAGCAGUGGGGAAUUUUGGACAAUGGGCGAAAGCCUGAUCCAGCAAUGCGGCGUGUGUGAAGAAGGCCUUCGGGUUGUAAAGCACUUUUGUCCGGAAAGAAAUCCUUGGCCCUAAUACGGUCGGGGGAUGACGGUACCGGAAGAAUAAGCACCGGCUAACUACGU
rnacentral:rRNA from 1 species